rnacentral:rRNA from 1 species
GAUGAACGCUGGCGGCGUGCCUAAUACAUGCAAGUCGAGCGAACGGACGAGAAGCUUGCUUCUCUGAUGUUAGCGGCGGACGGGUGAGUAACACGUGGAUAACCUACCUAUAAGACUGGGAUAACUUCGGGAAACCGGAGCUAAUACCGGAUAAUAUUUUGAACCGCAUGGUUCAAAAGUGAAAGACGGUCUUGCUGUCACUUAUAGAUGGAUCCGCGCUGCAUUAGCUAGUUGGUAAGGUAACGGCUUACCAAGGCAACGAUGCAUAGCCGACCUGAGAGGGUGAUCGGCCACACUGGAACUGAGACACGGUCCAGACUCCUACGGGAGGCAGCAGUAGGGAAUCUUCCGCAAAGGGCGAAAGACUGAAGGAGCAACGCCGCGUGAGUGAUGAAGGGCUUCGGAUCGUAAAACUCUGUUAUUAGGGAAGAACAUAUGUGGAAGUAACUGUGCACAUCUUGACGGUACCUAAUCAGAAAGCCACGGCUAACUACGUG